rnacentral:rRNA from 1 species
GAACGGUGAAGCAGAGCUUGCUCUGUGGAUCAGUGGCGAACGGGUGAGUAACACGUGAGCAACCUGCCCCUGACUCUGGGAUAAGCGCUGGAAACGGCGUCUAAUACUGGAUAUGAGCUGCGAUCGCAUGGUCAGCAGUUGGAAAGAUUUUUCGGUCUGGGAUGGGCUCACGGCCUAUCAGCUUGUUGGUGAGGUAAUGGCUCACCAAGGCGUCGACGGGUAGCCGGCCUGAGAGGGUGACCGGCCACACUGGGACUGAGACACGGCCCAGACUCCUACGGGAGGCAGCAGUGGGGAAUAUUGCACAAUGGGCGAAAGCCUGAUGCAGCAACGCCGCGUGAGGGAUGACGGCCUUCGGGUUGUAAACCUCUUUUAGCAGGGAAGAAGCGAAAGUGACGGUACCUGCAGAAAAAGCGCCGGCUAACUACGUGCCAG